rnacentral:rRNA from 1 species
GAUGAACGCUAGCGGCAGGCCUAGCACAUGCAAGUCGAGGGGUAGAAGUUGCUUGCAACUUUGAGACCGGCGCACGGGUGCGUAACGCGUAUGCAAUCUGCCUUGUACUGAGGGAUAGCCCAGAGAAAUUUGGAUUAAUACCUCAUAGCAUUAUGAUGUGGCAUCACAUUAUAAUUAACGUUCCAACGGUACAAGAUGAGCAUGCGUCCCAUUAGUUAGUUGGUAAGGUAACGGCUUACCAAGACGAUGAUGGGUAGGGGUCCUGAGAGGGAGAUCCCCCACACUGGUACUGAGACACGGACCAGACGCCGACGGGAGGCAGCAGUGAGGAAUAUUGGUCAAUGGGCGCAAGCAUGAACCAGCCAUGCCGCGUGCAGGAUGACGCAUCUAUGGUGUGUAAACUGCUUUUGUACAGGAAGAAACACUCCCACGUGUGGGAGCUUGACGGUACUGUAGGAAUAAGGAUCGGCUAACUCCGUGCCAGCCGCCGCGGUAA